rnacentral:rRNA from 1 species
UACGUAGGGAGCAAGCGUUGUCCGGAAUCAUUGGGCGUAAAGCGCGCGUAGGUGGCCCUGUAAGUCCGCUCUGAAAGUCGAAGGCUCAACCUUCGAAAGCGGGUGGAUACUGCAGGGCUAGAGUCCGGAAGAGGCGAGUGGAAUUCCUGGUGUAGCGGUGGAAUGCGCAGAUAUCAGGAGGAACACCAACGGCGAAGGCAGCUCGCUGGGACGGUACUGACACUGAGGCGCGAAAGCGUGGGGAGCAAACGGG